GAAGUUGUUACUGGGUUAUUACUGGAACAAUUGAAUAGAUCGACUGCCUCUGUGUUAUGGUUAAAUGUGAACUGCAUAGCCCCCGUGAAGUUGAAAAUCUGUGGGCAACCACCGUCGAACAAACUCUCAUCGGCAACGGAAAGCUCGAACUCUUUUUGGCCGCAGAAACUGGGUUUGCCGAUGCUACUACCCCAAAAUGGGUAAGUGAUGUUCGGGAACAACACCCGACGGUUCAGAUCCGCAUCUCAGAGGUGAUAGGCACAUCUCAUACUGUUGAUCAGCAGAGAAGCACGACCGGAAGCUAGCUACGGAGAAGACAGCGAAGGUGAUGAGGAGCGGAGGAGACAUGGAAGCUGGGUUUGACGAAGACUAACAACAGAAAAGUCCUUUUUUGAUCUGUUGAGAGGAUUUGGAGACUUUUUCUUUUUUAAACGUCUAAUUUUUUUACUAAUCGACAAAACGAUAAGGCUUCACCUUC